UACGGAGGGUGCAAGCGUUGUCCGGAAUUACUGGGCGUAAAGCGCACGUAGGCGGAUCUGUAAGUCAGGGGUGAAAUCCCGGGGCUCAACCUCGGAACUGCCUUUGAUACUGCAAAUCUCGAGUCCGGAAGAGGUGAGUGGAAUUCCUAGUGUAGAGGUGAAAUUCGUAGAUAUUAGGAAGAACACCAGUGGCGAAGGCGGCUCACUGGUCCGGUACUGACGCUGAGGUGCGAAAGCGUGGGGAGCAAACAGG
rnacentral:rRNA from 1 species